GGUGUUGAAUGUUGUCAUGAGUGGA
rnacentral:piRNA from 1 species